GGGGUUAUAGCUCAGUGGCAGAGCGUCCGCUUUGCAUCAACUUGAAUGAAGUUGCGGAAGGCCGUGAGUUCGAUCCUUACUAACUCCA